rnacentral:rRNA from 1 species
GAUGAACGUUGGCGGCGUGCCUAACACAUGCAAGUCGAACGGGAAGUACCUUUCGAGGUACGGAGAGUGGCGCACGGGUGAGUAACACGUAACUGAUCUGCCCUAGAGAGUGGGAUAACUAUUGGAAACAGUAGCUAAAACCGCAUAAGCUCACACUUUUUAGAAAGGUGUGAGAAAAACUCCGGUGCUCUAGGAUGAGGUUGCGUCCCAUCAGCUAGUUGGUAAGGUAAAGGCUUACCAAGGCGACGACGGGUAGGGGACCUGAGAGGGUGACCCCCCACACUGGAACUGAGACACGGUCCAGACUCCUACGGGAGGCAGCAGUGAGGAAUAUUGCACAAUGGACGAAAGUCUGAUGCAGCGACGCCGCGUGGGCGAAGAA